rnacentral:rRNA from 1 species
AUUGAACGCUGGCGGCAGGCCUAACACAUGCAAGUCGAGCGGAGCGGCCAACGGGUGAGUAACGCGUGAGUAACUGCCCCCCUCUCUGGGAUAACAGUUGGAAACUGCGGCUAAUACCGGAUAGUGGGGGAUGACUGGGGUCCUAUCAGCUUGUUGGUGGGGUAGUGGCCUACCACGGCGACGACGGGUAGCCGGCCUGAGAGGGCGACCGGCCACCUGGGGCUGAGUGACGGCCCAAACUGCUACGGGGGGCAGUAGUGGGGAAUAUUGCACAAUGGGGGAAAGCCUGGUGCAGCAACGCCGCGUGCGGGAUGGCGGCCUUCGGGUUGUAAACCGCUUUCAGCCAUGACGCGGUAGUGGCAGAAGAAGCACCGGCUAACUACGUGCCAGCAGCCGCGGUAAUUC